UCGAGCGUGGUGUACGGUACACCCUGGCUUUCUAUCAAUCGGGUCCAUGGCAAAUGUAGCCAGCAUCCGGGGUUCGACUCCCCGCGUUCGAG